CAGCCGCCGCGGUAAUACGUAGGGAGCAAGCGUUGUCCGGAAUCAUUGGGCGUAAAGGGUGCGCAGGCGGUCUGGCAAGUCAAGUGUGAAAUGUAUCAGCUUAACUGAUAUACUGCGCUUGAAACUGUCAGACUUGAGGGCAAGAGAAGAGAGCGGAAUUCCUAGUGUAGCGGUGAAAUGCGUAGAUAUUAGGAAGAACACCAGUGGCGAAAGCGGCUCUCUAGCUUGACCCUGACGCUGAGGCACGAAAGCUAGGGGAGCGAACGGGAUUAGAUACCCCGGUAGUCCUAGCUGUAAACGCUGGAUACUAGGUGUUGGGGGUUCAACUCCCUCAGUGCUGCAGUUAACGCGUUAAGUAUCCCGCCUGGGGAUUACGACCGCAAGGUUGAAACUUAAAGGAAUUGGCGGG
rnacentral:rRNA from 1 species